AAGUCGAACGCGUUGGCCCAAUUGAUUGAUGGUGCUUGCACCUGAUUGAUUUUGGUCGCCAACGAGUGGCGGACGGGUGAGUAACACGUAGGUAACCUGCCCAGAAGCGGGGGACAACAUUUGGAAACAGAUGCUAAUACCGCAUAACAGCGUUGUUCGCAUGAACAACGCUUAAAAGAUGGCUUCUCGCUAUCACUUCUGGAUGGACCUGCGGUGCAUUAGCUUGUUGGUGGGGUAACGGCCUACCAAGGCGAUGAUGCAUAGCCGAGUUGAGAGACUGAUCGGCCACAAUGGGACUGAGACACGGCCCAUACUCCUACGGGAGGCAGCAGUAGGGAAUCUUCCACAAUGGGCGCAAGCCUGAUGGAGCAACACCGCGUGAGUGAAGAAGGGUUUCGGCUCGUAAAGCUCUGUUGUUAAAGAAGAACACGUAUGAGAGUAACUGUUCAUACGUUGACGGUAUUUAACCAGAAAGUCACGGCUAACUACGUGCCAGCAGCCGCGGUAAUACGUAGGUGGCAAGCGUUAUCCGGAUUUAUUGGGCGUAAAGAGAGUGCAGGCGGUUUUCUAAGUCUGAUGUGAAAGCCUUCGGCUUAACCGGAGAAGUGCAUCGGAAACUGGAUAACUUGAGUGCAGAAGAGGGUAGUGGAACUCCAUGUGUAGCGGUGGAAUGCGUAGAUAUAUGGAAGAACACCAGUGGCGAAGGCGGCUACCUGGUCUGCAACUGACGCUGAGACUCGAAAGCAUGGGUAGCGAACAGGAUUAGAUACCCUGGUAGUCCAUGCCGUAAACGAUGAGUGCUAGGUGUUGGAGGGUUUCCGCCCUUCAGUGCCGGAGCUAACGCAUUAAGCACUCCGCCUGGGGAGUACGACCGCAAGGUUGAAACUCAAAGGAAUUGACGGGGGCCCGCACAAGCGGUGGAGCAUGUGGUUUAAUUCGAAGCUACGCGAAGAACCUUACCAGGUCUUGACAUCUUGCGCCAACCCUAGAGAUAGGGCGUUUCCUUCGGGAACGCAAUGACAGGUGGUGCAUGGUCGUCGUCAGCUCGUGUCGUGAGAUGUUGGGUUAAGUCCCGCAACGAGCGCAACCCUUGUUACUAGUUGCCAGCAUUAAGUUGGGCACUCUAGUGAGACUGCCGGUGACAAACCGGAGGAAGGUGGGGACGACGUCAGAUCAUCAUGCCCCUUAUGACCUGGGCUACACACGUGCUACAAUGGACGGUACAACGAGUCGCGAACUCGCGAGGGCAAGCAAAUCUCUUAAAACCGUUCUCAGUUCGGACUGCAGGCUGCAACUCGCCUGCACGAAGUCGGAAUCGCUAGUAAUCGCGGAUCAGCAUGCCGCGGUGAAUACGUUCCCGGGCCUUGUACACACCGCCCGUCACACCAUGAGAGUUUGUAACACCCAAAGUCGGCUGGGGUAACCUUUUAGGAGCCAGCCGCCU
rnacentral:rRNA from 1 species